UACGGGGGGGGCAAGCGUUGUUCGGAAUUACUGGGCGUAAAGGGUUCGUAGGUGGCUUGCUAAGUCAGACGUGAAAUCCCCAGGCUCAACCUGGGAACUGCGUCUGAUAUUGGAUGGCUUGAAUUCGGGAGAGGGAUGCAGAAUUCCAGGUGUAGCGGUGAAAUGCGUAGAUAUCUGGAGGAAUACCGGUGGCGAAGGCGGCAUCCUGGACCGACAUUGACGCUGAGGAGCGAAAGCUAGGGGAGCAAACGGG
rnacentral:rRNA from 1 species